UCAACCUUGGAAACUUUUCCAUAAAAACUAGAGUCAAGCCACAGGCCAAGAUUUGGCUUUUUAGUUACAGAAAGAGGACAAAAAGCAACAAACAACCAAAAUUGAUAUGGAAACUGCAAAGAUCAAAAGAAAAGUCUUUCUUCCUAGAAAUACUUUCAGGAAUUCCAAACCGAUAUCUUUAUAAAGAAUUGAGAAUUCUAACCAAGACCUCCUAAUAAUAAAAUAAGACCCAUCCCUAGAAUGUGCUGAGAUCCACAUGGGAGACUGGAAAUGUCUUAUUCUGACACAGUUGCUACACAUAAGAAGGCCCUGAGGCGUUAUAAUUUGAGGCAUUAUAAGCAAGUUAAGAACACUCAAAAGAAUGAGAGAAGAUGUCUACCAGAUAUGGUUGGUGCAGGAAGCUGAUCUUAUUAGGAACAAACUUUGAUUUUGGAAAUCAAUUGGAGAAAGCAGCUUCCUAUGCUGUAUGAAGAACUGCUGUAUAACUUGAGGGAAGGGAAACCUCUCAGAAGCUUGUCCACAUGGCCCUUUAUUAUUUUCUGUGGCUUUCCUUGGCAAAGAACUGAAGCAUUGUCAUGGUUUUUUCAGUGAAAAUCAGUUUCCUUUCAGCCUCAGACUUGCAAGAUUAUUCAGGUCAGCUCUCUGUAGGCUCUUCAUAGAGAGAGAAAACUCAGUCUGUUUCCAGAGUUUUCACUUUAGAUUCUAAACUCUUUCAGUGUACAGAUCAGUCAGAAGUUAAUA